GGAAGGAAAUUAAGUACGGAAGUUCCUGAUUUCACGCUGUCAAGAAAAGCCUCUAGGAAGAGUAGUACUGCCCGUACCGCAAACCGACACAGGUAGAUGAGGAGAGAAUCCUAAGGUGAGCGAGAGAACUCUCGUUAAGGAACUCGGCAAAAUGACCCCGUAACUUCGGGAGAAGGGGUGCUCUAUUAGGGUGCAAGCCCGAGAGAGCCGCAGUGAAUAGGCCCAGGCGACUGUUUAGCAAAAACACAGGU
rnacentral:rRNA from 1 species